rnacentral:misc_RNA from 1 species
UCUCCUGUUCAUUCAAAGAAGCCACAGCGGAAGUCCCUCCCGAAACUGCCUUCUCAGAAGAGCAGUUUAUCGAAUGCAACAAAUGAUGAAAAAACUGCAUCAUCUAAAGUAACAAAUGAGGAAAAUGCCACCUUGUCUAAUCCAAUGAAUGAAAAUGCAUCUCCCAUCCAAAAAGAUGAGGAGCUAGUUGUUGGAGAGCAAGCUCAGCCUACUUUAGUGCAAGAACCAAUAGCAUCCGAGAGUUGAUCAGAGCAGCACUGGAAUCAGAAGCUCUGCAAAGGCCUUGAAAAUCCGUGUCCGUAAAUAAGUGGUCAAGACUUGAAUCAUCGCACAAUGAAGCUAUGGAUUGUGAUGUCAUGUUUGUCAGUAGUCAGCAGCAUUGGUUGUUUUGUGUGCCUGCUUGCAUGGCUGCUGAUCUUCUCAAUAGGAUUCUUUAUUCUGCUUGCAGCAUUGUAUGUUACCAUUUGCUAAAAUUACCUUAUUU